rnacentral:piRNA from 1 species
UGAGUUACUAAGGUGUUUUCCGGA